CACGCAGGGCGCAAGCGUUGUCCGGAAUCAUUGGGCGUAAAGAGCUCGUAGGCGGUCUGUUGCGUCCGCUGUGAAAACUCGGGGCUUAACCCCGAGCUUGCAGUGGAUACGGGCAGACUAGAGGUAGGUAGGGGAGAAUGGAAUUCCCGGUGUAGCGGUGAAAUGCGCAGAUAUCGGGAGGAACACCGGUGGCGAAGGCGGUUCUCUGGGCCUUACCUGACGCUGAGGAGCGAAAGCGUGGGGAGCGAACAG
rnacentral:rRNA from 1 species